GACGAACGCUGGCGGCGUGCCUAAUACAUGCAAGUAGAACGCUGAAGGAGGAGCUUGCUUCUCUGGAUGAGUUGCGAACGGGUGAGUAACGCGUAGGUAACCUGCCUGGUAGCGGGGGAUAACUAUUGGAAACGAUAGCUAAUACCGCAUAAGAGUAGAUGUCGCAUGACAUUUGCUUAAAAGGUGCAAUUGCAUCACUACCAGAUGGACCUGCGUUGUAUUAGCUAGUUGGUGAGGUAACGGCUCACCAAGGCAACGAUACAUAGCCGACCUGAGAGGGUGGUCGGCCACACUGGGACUGUGACACGGCCCAGACUCCUACGGGAGGCAGCAGUAGGGAAUCUUCGGCAAUGGGCGGAAGUCUGACCGAGCAACGCCGCGUGAGUGAAGAAGGUUUUCGGAUCGUAAAGCUCUGUUGUAAGAGAAGAACGAGUGUGAGAGUGGAAAGUUCACACUGUGACGGUAUCUUACCAGAAAGGGACGGCUAACUACGUG
rnacentral:rRNA from 1 species